rnacentral:lncRNA from 1 species
AUAAUUUCAAAGAAUACGUUAUAAAACAAAAACUCUCCUGCCAUACUAAUAAACUAGGCAACUCAAAUUAGGAGAUUCAUUUUGGAAGAGGUAAAAUAUUAUUUUGUAUGCUUCAGAGUUGCAGAAAAGUGAAACAAUCAUCAGGUUUAUUGCACGCCUGCUGAAAAUAACAUGUAGGCGGUAGUUUGAUGGAUCAUGAACUUACAGGUUAUUCAGCUCAAACAUGCCAAUAAUAUGACCAUACAUUUCAACGGAGAGUAAUGGUAAGAGUCAAAGAUUCCAUAUUGAACAACAUAAGUAUCAAGAACAACACCACAGAUAAGAGGAGCAGUCAACUGACUGAAAAGUAAUCAAACAUAAGUAUCGAGAACAACACCACAGAUAAGAGGAGCAGUCAACUGAUUGAAAGGUAAUCAGGAUACAUGGCUUGCAUU